UCAAGAAACUUCCACAAUGGGCGAAAGCCUGAUGGAGCGACGUCGCGUGAUGGACGAAGUGCUUCGGCACGUAAACAUCUUUUAUGUGGGAUGAAAUUAUUGACAGUACCACAUGAAUAAGGGGCUCCUAACUCUGUGCCAGCAGGAGCGGUAAUACAGAGGCCCCAGGCGUUAUCCGGAAUCACUGGGCGUAAAGGGUGUCGAGGCGGUUGUAUUAGUCGUUCGUAAAAUCUACGAGCUUAACUUGUAGGCGGCGAACGAAACGGUACGACUUGAGGUUUGGAGAGGUGCGUGGAACUCACGGUGUAGGGGUGAAAUCCGUUGAUAUCGUGGGGAACACCAAAGGCGAAGGCAGCGCACUGGCCAAAAUCUGACGCUCACACACGAAAGCUAGGGUAGCGAAGAGGAUUAGAUACCCAUGUAGUCCCUGAGCGGGCUGGCAAGGCGCAU
rnacentral:rRNA from 1 species